GGUCGAUCAGCGGCUCAGAUUGAACGCUGGCGAUGUUUACACAUGCAAGUCGAACGGCACGGACUUCGGUCUGGUGGCGAGUGGCGAACGGGUGAGAAGGUAUCGAACGUGCCUAGUAGCGGGGGAUAACUACGCCAAAGGUAGCUAAUACCGCAUACGUUCUUCGGGGGAAAGUGGGGGACCUUCGGGCCUCGCACUAUUAGAGCGCCGAUAUCGGAUUAGCUAGUUGGUGGGGUAACGGCUCACCAGUGCGACGAUCCGUAGCUGGUUUGAGAGGACGACUGGCCACACUGGGAUCGAGACACGGCCCAGACUCGGCAUGGAGUGGGAGAGCAGUGGGGAAUUUUGGAUACGUCGGGGAAACCCUGAUCCAGCCAUCCCGCGUAAAGGAGAAGGCUGGGUUGUAAAGCACUUUUGGCAGGAAAGAAACGGCACGGGAUAAUACUCCCGUGCAACUGACGGUAGGCACCGCAGGGUGAAUAAGACCGUGGCUAACUACGUGCCAGCAGCCGCGGUAAUACGUAGUAAGCGUUAAUCGGAAUUACCGGGGCGUAAAGCGUGGCGCAGGCGGGUUCGGAAAGAAAGAUGUGAAAUCCCAGGGCUUAACUUUGGAACUGUAUUUUUAACUACCGAGCUAGAGUGUCAGGAGGGAGGUGGAAUUCCGCGUGUAAAGCAGUGAAAUGCGUAGAUAUGCGAGGAACACCGAUGGCGAAGGCAGCCUGGGAUAACACCGACGCUCAUGCACGAAAGCGUGGGGAGAGCAAACAGGAUUAGAUACCCCGGUAGUCCACGCCCUGGUAAACGAUCACCAGCUGCUGGGGCCUCGCCUUGGUAGCGCAGCUAACGCAGGAAGUUGACCGCCUGGGGAGUACGCCGGUCAAAAGAUUUAAAACUCAGCGAAUGAUGUGACCCGCACGCUGGGUGGAUGAUGCGGAUUAAUUCGAUGCAACGCGAAACCUUACCUACCCUUGACAUGUCUGGAAUCCCGAAGAGAUUUGGGAGUGCUCGCAAGAGAACCGAACACAGGUGCUGCAUGGCUGUCGUCAGCUCAAAAGUCGUGAGAUGUUGGGUUAAGUCCGCAACGAGCGCAACCUCUUUGUCAUUAAGCAGCAUGAAAGGGCACUCUAAUGAGACCGUUGCGACAAACCGGAGGAAGGUGGGGAUGACGUCAAGUCCUCAUGGCCCUGAUGUAGGGCUUCACACGUCAGUACAAUGGUCGGGACAGAGGGUCGCCAACCUGCGAGGGGGAGCCAAUCCCAGAAACCCGAUCGUAGUCCGGAUCGCAGUCUUGCAACUCGGCUGCGGAAGUCAGAACGCUAGUAAUCUGCGAUCAGCAUGUCGCGGAAUAUGCCCUGGGGUCUUGUACACAAUGCGCUCCGCUCCGCUGGCCUCAUGGGAGGUUUUACCAGAAGUAGUUAGCCUUAACCGUGAGGGCGAUUACCACGGUAGGAUAUGACUGGGGUGAAGUCGUAACAAGGUAA
rnacentral:rRNA from 1 species